rnacentral:lncRNA from 1 species
CUCGCUUCUGUACACAUGCCUGCUGAAGCAAGUUUACCAUAUGGGGUUGCAACCCCCUCAUUUGAGUCCUGCAGAUCAUGCAAGCAAACAGUUGCAAAGUCUAGCAUGCAAGCCCAAUUUUACUACUUCUCAUGAGACAACAUCAUACUUUGGGUUGUUGCUUGGGUUUGGUGCUGCCCAGGUUUGCAGCCAUGGCAUGAGGAGCGUGGUCGCGAUGGUGAAGUCCUUUGUUGCCAAGUUGCCAUAGAACUCGGCAAAGUCGUCAUAUUCCAUUCCACUGACGGCCAGGAAUUCCUCAAACGCUUUGGUGGCCUUAUCACCAGCAGCACUGCAAACGUUGCUGGGCACGUUUAAAAUGUACCGCUCAUCUAAUGAACAAGUGCAAUGGCUGAUGAUGCCACUCACUUGUCAUUCGUUGGCUGCAUCAUAGCUGCAGCUGGACCUCGUGCAUCCUGCGCCUAUUGUCCGACGGCUGCGUGGGCUGCAUCCCAAAUNNNNNNNNNNNNNNNNNNNNNNNNNNNNNNNNNNNNNNNNNNNNNNNNNNAUUAUAGCUCAGAAGCGCUCUAUCCACCCUAACACUUUCUGGUAUUCAUGCCUAGAAGUAGUCCUCCAUCACCGUCAGUUAACACUCCAAGACAAGUCUGUACAGUGACUGUACAGUGCAGCAGCGCUGUUGCUAGCAGUAGCUUCUCCACAAGCGGCUUGUGAGCCUGUAUGCAGCAGCUGCUGCAGCAGAAGCUUCGAAACAGCUCCAAACAGUUUCAUAUUGAGUGCACCCAGCUGCAGCUCAUCCAUCUCUCAACAAAAUUUGCCUCAAAACAUGCUACAUCAUAGGUCACAUGCACUAUCCACCCUAACACCUUCUGGUAGUCAUGCCUAGUAUUAGUCCUCUAUCGCCGUUAGUUAACACUACAAGACAUUGCUGCAGCAGCAGUCCUCCACAAGCAGCUUGUGAGCCUGUAUGCAGCAAAGAUCAGGCAGGGGCAUACAAUAGCACCUUUGUCAGACCAUCAAGAACUGCAAUGACUGUGAUGUGGAAUUUAGAAUGCAGUUUUAUGCCACACACCUUACUACUGCUUUAACCCUCCACUGACUCUGCGUGCUGAUGUGUGGUGGGGAAAGCAUGUAGUGUUGUCCACAGCAGCUGCAGGUUGCUGGGUAGGCCCUGUAGACAGACAAACAUGCCCAUCAGAAGUUAAAUACUCCAAACCCUGUAUAGGAGACUCCAUACAGAAUAUAUGCAGCAAGAGGUAAUUUGACACAAAAUCCAAAAACUGCAGUUGCCCUUGUUUGCUUGCACAUGAAUGACAAUUACCCCUACAGCUAUCACCUCCCAAGCAGAAAAAGCAUGCCCGGGAAUCGAACUCAGGUCGGAACUAGGAUACUUGCCUAAAACCAACCCAUUCCAUCAUGACUUCCACAGCUGGGAACAUCUCACCAUUCCCAAGUCUUAGUUCCGUGUAUCAGCUAGUAACCAACAUACUUCCUCAACGGCUUCUUCCUGUUUAAACCUCGGUAGUUGCCUUAAUCAACCUGUUACAUCAUGAUUUCCCCCAGAGAACAACUCACCAGUGGUCACUAUUCACGUGUCAUGCCCCGUGAUAUGAGCCAGUAGCCAACAUAUGCCUCCAUCCUCAAUGGCUUCCAAACCGGCACCCAUAUCUCAGGCAGAGCGGCAUCAUGCUUAUGUCACCUUUCUUCAUCGUAGGCAGAGCUUUGGUGGAUGAUGCCGUCUGCAGCUCCCGUUUCUCGCUUCUGUACACAUGCCUGCUGAAGCAAGUUUACCAUAUGGGGUUGCAACCCCCUCAUUUGAGUCCUGCAGAUCAUGCAAGCAAACAGUUGCAAAGUCUAGCAUGCAAGCCCAAUUUUACUACUUCUCAUGAGACAACAUCAUACUUUGGGUUGUUGCUUGGGUUUGGUGCUGCCCAGGUUUGCAGCCAUGGCAUGAGGAGCGUGGUCGCGAUGGUGAAGUCCUUUGUUGCCAAGUUGCCAUAGAACUCGGCAAAGUCGUCAUAUUCCA